AGAGCUACUAAAAUUUCUUCUGGUGAGCACUGUUGUAUCAUUUUACACUCUCUCCUUCAUCUUUCAAGUUUGUUUGGCUCUUUGUAAUAAUCCUGAUGGUGCACAUCUCCCUGAUAACCAGUGAAGGUUUCCCAACUGUCAGCCGCUUGUUCUCAGGAGCAGAGACUCCAAUGUACGGAAGCUUUGCAUUGCCUACAAAUUCUCAAGGAGGGAGCCCACAAUGGCGGGGGCGGCUGCUACAGCGAAACGGCAGGGGCCGUGGUGGACACCGGCUGAUCACCAAGCAGCCAAACCUGAAUGACGCCUGUGGGCCACCCCGCAACUGCCUGGACAUCCAUGUAAAUAACCCGCAGACGGUGGGGGUCGGCCGGGGCCGCUUCACCACCUAUGACAUCAGGGUCAAGACAAAUCUUCCUAUUUUCAAGCUGAAGGAAUCUACUGUGAGAAGAAGAUACAGUGACUUUGAAUGGCUGAGAAGUGAAUUAGAAAGGGAAAGCAAGGUUGUAGUUCCCCCGCUCCCUGGAAAAGCAUUUUUGCGUCAACUUCCUUUUAGAGGAGAUGAUGGAAUAUUUGAUGACAAUUUUAUUGAGGAAAGGAAGCAAGGGCUGGAGCAAUUUAUAAACAAGGUCGCUGGUCAUCCUCUGGCACAGAAUGAACGUUGUCUUCACGUUUUUACAGGAUGAAAUAAUAGAUAAAAGCUAUACUCCAUCUAAAAUGAGACAUGCCUGAAACUUGGCAAGAAGAGGCAAAACGUGACUAUUAAUGAUUCAUAUGCACCAGUCAAGAAGUUUUAACUAACUUGUAGCAUGCUGCACAGAAACUGGUAUAACAUGCCUUCAGUACACUAACGCUCAUGCUCAGUUUUGUUUUGUUUUGUUUUGGCAAUUGACAAGAAGUUAAUUUGCUUUAGUGAAAAAUCUCUCCUUCCAACCUUUCUAUAUAAAUAGCUCUUCCUUACUGUUUUAAUGUGGUGCACACUAUAGCCUUACAAACUUGUUAUUCCAAUGUAAUCUGCAAUGUCCUAACUAAAGUUACUGACUUGGUCUUAUUUGCACA